rnacentral:rRNA from 1 species
UACGAAGGGGGCUAGCGUUGUUCGGAAUUACUGGGCGUAAAGGGCGCGUAGGCGGUACUUCAAGUCAGGCGUGAAAGCCCCGGGCUCAACCUGGGAACCGCGCUUGAGACUGGAGAACUAGAGUUCGGGAGAGGAUGGUGGAAUUCCCAGUGUAGAGGUGAAAUUCGUAGAGAUUGGGAAGAACACCAGUGGCGAAGGCGGCUAUCUGGACGGUUUCUGACACUAAGACUCGAAAGCGUGGGGAGCAAACAGG